UGGCGGUGACAAUUUCAUGUUUUUUAGAAUUUGAGACAAGUUAGUUAGAAUAGAACUAACUUGUCAGGGUAGUAGGGAAGCACUGAGACUUUUAGUUUAGUCAACUAUAGACUCACACAAUGGGAGGAGCUACUUUGGGUGCCCAGCUCUGGAAGUAAAAGUCCCGUUCUUUUUUUCCAUAGACAAUGUUAACGUGAGUUACAGUUGAAGCACUUCAACAGUUUGGAUCGGCAUUAAACUCUUCCGGUCGAAUCAUCAGUAAAGUUACAGAACAGCAGCCAAGGCUCAUGGGUAUUGUACAUGGGUACAUGUGCAGAGAACUCAGCAUUGUGAAAAACCCUGAAGCCUUCAGCGGCACGACUUUGCUGAGUUCAUCCAUCCUGCUGAUUGUCUGCAGUUUGUCUACCGCCUGAAGGCAAGUUGGACUUCAUUAUUUAUAUACUGCUGCCUCAACUUCUACCUGCAGGGUGCUUCUGUAAUUGACAGGACAUCAUAACCUUGCAGCUUUGACACUGACUGCCAUCAUCCAAGCAACAAUGACAAGAGGGCCGCAACAUGUCCAUCUCGCUUGUGGCUUGGCUGUCUAUAGAACUGGGUCAAAUUAAUAAGGAAUUGUGAUAAUAAUUAAAUGAGUGGAUAAUUACAGAUAUGUAUAGUUAUGCUGCAGUCUGUACACUGGAGUCGAAGUGAAGGCUUUUCCCCAGAAUCUGAAGUCUAUUUUUGUUUGUGAGUCGAGAGUGAAGGCGACAGUGCCUGGGGCUCCCCCCUGCUCUACUCUCUAUCCAGGAAAAUAAAAAGAUUUUCGUGAA